rnacentral:tRNA from 1 species
GGGGACAUGUACCAAGGGGGCGACAGUGCUUUGCAAGCACCGUGAGGUGGGUUCAAUUCCCACUCUCUCCA